AACAAACGCUGGCGGCGUGCCUAACACAUGCAAGUCGUACGAGAAAGGGUCCUUCGGGGCCUGAGUAAAGUGGCGCACGGGUGAGUAACGCGUGGAUAAUCUGCCCUUCAGUUGGGAAUAACUCAUCGAAAGGUGGGCUAAUACCGAAUAAUGCUGUGAGACCUCGGUUGAUCAGCCAAAGAGAGCCUCUGCUGUCAAGCCCUCGCUGAAGGAUGAGUCCGCGUACCAUUAGCUAGUUGGUAGGGUAAUGGCCUAACAAGGCGACGAUGGUUAGCUGGUCUGAGAGGAUGAUCAGCCACACUGGAACUGAGACACGGUCCAGACUCCUACGGGAGGCAGCAGUGAGGAAUCUUGCGCAAUGGGGGCAACCCUGACGCAGCAACGCCGCGUGAGUGAGGAAGGUCUUCGGAUCGUAAAGCUCUGUCGGAUGGAAAGAACCGCAUAGGGGUAAACAGCCCCUGUGUCUGACGGUACCAUCAAAGGAAGCACCGGCUAACUCCGUGCCAGCCGCCGCAGUAAGAC
rnacentral:rRNA from 1 species